UUUAAAUACUUUGCAAGCACUCGUAACAGCCAGAGUGCGCGCAUCCAUUUCUUUUGCGACGACGUGCCUCUCCAAGCAUCAGCCAUUCUCUCUCUGUCCUCUAAAGACAAAGAAACAUGUCCGACGAGGGAAAACUUUUCGUCGGCGGCCUAAGCUUCGACACCACAGAAGAGUCUCUGGCAGAAGCGUUCGCCAAGUAUGGGAACAUCGCAAAAGUUGAUGUCAUCAGAGACAAAGAAACAGGACGGUCUCGGGGAUUCGGCUUUGUAAAGUACGAUAAUGCAGAGGACGCGAAGGAUGCCUUGGAGGGGAUGAACGGCAAGUCUGUAGACGGCAGAACGAUUCGUGUGGAUGAAGCUGGAAAGGGAGGUGGCCGCUCUGGAGGCGGCGGAUUCAGGGGUUCCAGGGGCGGUGGUGGUUAUGGCGGUGGAGGUGGAUACGGAGGGGGGAGAGGAAGAGGUGGGCGAGGUUACUUGCGAGGUGGCGGAGGAUAUGGCGGUGGCGGUGACCGGGGAUAUGGUGAGAGGAGCUACGGUGGCGGUGGAGACCGCAGCUAUGGCGGUGGAGACAGAAGUUACGGCGGCGGCGGCGGAUACAGGAGUGGUGGCGGCGGCGGCUAUUCAUCUGGCGGCGGCGGAGGAUACAGAGACAAUAGGGGCCAGGGUGGCUAUGGGGACCGAUCUGGGGGAUCCUACAGAGACAGCUACGACAGCUAUGGGUGAAUGUACCCUCUGAAGACUAACCUGAAUGUUCCAGUCAGAUUGUGAUGGGCCAGAAUUGUGGUGACAACUGUGACUCAGACUUUCAGGUCCAGUGUGUGCGCAGCCAUGGAAUACAUCAACUCUGGAAUUUGGCUUUGGCAGAAUGCCAUGUAUUUUAUGCAGUCACCGAUUCCCAAAUUGAGGGAAUAUUCAAGUUUCCCAAUUCCCAUCGUAAACAUUUGGUAUUGAGAUCCUUUACUUGGUCUGAGGGUCCUUAUUCUUAGUGUUCUGUUUCGUAGAAUUCUUAAAUUCCUUUUUAAACUUUAAAAUGCAAUCAUUGGUGACUAGCGUGACAGCUUAAUGUGCUGCUUAGUGUUUGCACAGAAAACAAAUCUACUGUACAUCAAAUGAUCCUCCUAACGACGAACGCUGAAUGGUGUAACGUUCCCACGUGUGCAAAUGUGUGAUGAAAGGGAACAAAAUGCAUGCACAUGGUAGCCAAUUUAAAACAUUUGUGGCUAGUCUGUUUUUAGUUAUAUUUAACUUAAAUUUUGUCCAAUAAUGUGUUUUAUCCUUCUCUAUGUAUUGCGGCUGAUUGCUGUUAUCAGCAAGCCUCUCAGUGCUGCUGCAUAUUGCUGAGAAGGACUCGAUUGUAUUCCAAGGUGGGGGGAAAUGGCUAUCCUGUCUAAAAACCUGUUCAAGUACACUGCAAAUGUGUCCUUUAUAUUCUCAUUUAAUAUUCACAAUUCACAAAUACAUCAGCUUUUGUAUGUAGUUAAGUUGCUACUGCCAGUGAUCUAAUUAAGGUAAAUUUUCACUGGUGAGGUUUUAUUAAAGGAAAAGGUUGCUGUUUUUGAACCUGGGGCCUAUUUGGAUUAUCUAACUUGAUCCUAGGUCAUAGAGAAAUUUGUUAAUUAUUUCAAUUUUUACGAUUUUAUUUUACUCUGCCGUCUCUGGGCUCAAAUGGAACUGAAUGGGGCAACUGAUGUAGCGUUUGAAAAUAUGAUACAUUCGGUUUCCCAAAUUGGAAGGCCAUAGGUCUCUAUAUGUUCUCCAGAAACAAUUGUGCCAAAACAACAAUUGUGCCAAAACAAGCAUUUUAUCAAUGGUUAUGUUCUACAUGAAAGCAAACUAACUUUUUCAUAAACAUUCCCUCACAACAUCUGUAAACUUCCACACUCAAGCUAACAGUGUGCUGUUUCAAAUCAGCUGAACUACGGUGCUAACCUCAUUGGAGUUCACCAGCUAACAAGCACAGUUUUCGGACAUGUAUGAACAUUUUCCAAGACUGUGCAGUCCCCUAUUGUGUUAUUAAAAUGAUAUCUAACUAAUUGUAUAAUAGACAGGUCAUUAUUCUGGAAUGUUAACAGUCAGGGAAAGUAACUGACAUGGCCGUUCCCAACAGUAUCAAAAUCAUGCCAAUACUCCAUAGUCAUUUUAGUACCUCCCCAUAUUAUUCCUGCAGAACACGGCGUAUGACAACAUUAUCCAAAUAGCUAUUACAUGCCUACUAACUGCCCGGUUAAGAGCUUAAGAGGGAGUGCUGUCUGUUGCACACACUGGAGCCGAUUCAGCCUCAUCAAUGGAUACAUAUAGCUUCUCAGUGGCAUUAGGUAGCAAAUAAAUCCCACUCCUAACAUGAUCUACAGUUUGUAAACGGUUACUGGUUAAAUCCUUCUCGCAUUUACCAGCCGCUAAUACAACUUGCUUGCAUUUUUGCUGGUAGUCUAUACUAGCUAAUGUGAGCUACAGUUUUGUAAGCAAAGCCAGUUAAGGAUAAAGCCUCACAGACCGAUUAAUUGGCCCGGCAUUUGCUUAUACAUUUUCCAGAAAGAAUAAACAGCGAUAACCUUUGAUACAGUGCUUGUUUUGGCACAAAUGCAGAGACCCAGAUCUAUAUACCCUGGACUUCCCGUUUUGGAAAACCAAAUAUAUAUGUUUUCAAAUGCUAUAUCGGUUGCCCCGUUCACUUCCAUUGUAGAAUAAAAAAAAAAAAUGAAUAAUUCCCCCCAAAAAUCUCUACAGUACAGAAUUGUUUGAUAAUCAGAAAAAUGGCACCAGGUUCAAAAAUAGCAAACCUUUCUUUUAAGCAUUAUUGCACAAAGAUAGUGUUUGGAAUUGAAGUCAAAAAAUCUGAGUGGCUUAAACAAAUGCACAUCCUUGUUUGAGCCAUUUUAGCCUAAACAGUUGUAGCAGACAGUAUUUUAGUUAAGAAAUGAUCAUUCUGUAGGCUUACCAAUUUUUGUCAGUUGGCAGACACCACAGCAAAUUAAUAGGAGCAGUUGAAGUCCUUUGCUCAGUGCACAAGGACAUGUUUUUGAGCGAAUCAGUUUCUCAUUGAUAAAAGUCUAAUUUGUACUGUAACUUUUAACAAAUAUUUUUUUCAGGUGGUUUGUAUUGAAUCAAAUCUGCAGAUGUAUUGAAUCAAAUCUGUCUUUGCCAAACUACUGUUAUGCUUCUGGGAUGCUGUACUGACUGGUUUGCAUUUGUGUAGAAUUUCAACAUUCAUUUAGGUAUUUGAUCCAAUUGCAGGGUAUUGGCCUUCAAAUUUGCAAUGCCUGUAACCAUUGAUUUGAUUAAAUCCCAGCCUUAUUGUUGUUAACAAUGUUCAUGGCUUUUAAAGGUCAGUAUUUAAUGUUUCACUAGCUUGCCAGUUGUUUUAAUAAUGUGAUGUAUUCUGUAUUUGAGAAAUGUCAAACUGCUAAGAAGUUGCUCUAUCUUGCAUUAAUGGAAAACUAUUUAAGUAAAGCAAUAAAUGGGUUGUUAGCCACAGCCAUUGAAAUAUA